AAAUGUUAGUAAAUUCAGAUAAUGCAACAAUCGAAAUUAAAUUUAAUUCAUUUAUAAUUUUAUGUAUUGGUACUAAGCAAACUUUCAAUAGGAUUCUAAUUCAAUAACAACGUAUGCUUGAGCUUUAAAUUGUUCAAUGAGCAUAUUCGCUCUAGCUGGACCGUUAUAAGCUCAUAUGUAUCUAAUCAUUUACCCUUUGAAUAUUUGAAACUGCUAAAUAAUUAAGAUGUAUUUUCCUUGUGAUCUUCCUUUCACUCCUUUUUACCCAGGU
rnacentral:misc_RNA from 1 species